ACGCGGUAGCGCCUGACAGGUAGCGCAGCGGACUCUUAAUCCGCGGGUUGUAGGUUCAAGUCCUACGCGGCGUAC
rnacentral:tRNA from 1 species